CAGCAUCUUCAACAGACAGUCAUGUUCUACACAUUUCUGCUAUUGCUGACCACAGCAGCAACCUGUGUGAAAUGUGAUAUUGGACUAAUUCAGCCGAGUUCAGUGCUUAUAAAGCCAGGAGGGUCUCUGACCAUCAGCUGUAAAGUAUCUGGUUAUUCAGUUACUGAUAACAGCUACGUGACAGGUUGGAUUAGACAGCCUGCAGGGAAAACUCUGGAGUGGAUAAUCCACAUCUGGGGUGGUGGGAGUAUUUACCAAGAAGAGUCUCUGAAAAGCAAGUUCAGUAUUUCUAAAGACGCCUCCAGCAGCACAGUGACUUUACAAGGACAGAACAUGCAGCCUGAAGACACAGCUGUUUAUUACUGUGUGAAGAGACCACCACAGUGA